rnacentral:lncRNA from 1 species
GCCGCGGCCGGUAAAUCUCGGCUGGAGGAGCAGCGGCGGCCCCCGAGUCAACUUUCAUUCCCUUUUUGCUUCUGCCUCACCAUUCUCUUCUCCUCCUCGAAAGAUGGCUGUUUGGAGAAGGGGGAGAAGUUAAGAGGUCGCCGGCGCGGAGCGAAGGAGGGCGCGAUAGCCUCAGCAGGAGCGGGCGGAGGUUUCUCCUCUGCCAACCCCUCCUGGACCAUCGUCAGCAGUUGAACCACAAAGGCUGUGAAUCUGCAUCCUAGUCUUAGCAGUCCCUCUGAUUCUCAUGAUGAGCUCACCUGCACAGCCUGGUGGAGCCCAGGGGUCCUUUAAAAAAAUCUUAUUCGCGGAUUCUUACAUGCUGAGGGCAUUGAACAGAGAGAACCUGUGGUCUGAAGAGUAGGAAAACCAAAUACAAGGGUACUGAUACAAAUGCAAGUCAAAAUGCUAGUUGUACACAAGAUCUGGAUUUGAAUAUGAAAUCUGAU